UAACUCUGUUUGUUUAUGUAGCACGAACCAACAGCAGCCUAGACGACGGUCGGUGCGUCGAGGUCAGCAUGAGACAGCAGUGGCGCUUGAGGAGCAGAGGAAGAGUGACAGUACAAACAAGUGCAGCUCAACGAGCCUUUUUCUUACGAUGCUUGUGGUCGCCGUGAGCACGAAGCAAGUAGGAUCAGGCUCUCGAUGGCGCAGGCAUAGGAUGCCCGUUAGAGAAAGAUUACUUGCUGAAGGCCACCAUACUUUCCUACAGUAAGACAUAGGAAAGAUAAUAUAUAAAGCCCAUUACAGAAAGAAUCAGCAGUCCAGUUUAAAAAAAACAUUUUACUAGAACUGAAAGCAAUGAUUUUUUCAUACUUCUAGGUGAGGACAUGGUGCUCUAAUCCAUUUUGUCAUAUAUAAACCUCCAUUUUUUUGGUGGCCAAAACUGAUGCAUAACAACACAAGUGAAGAAUUGUUCGUAGGCAUAAAAACAAAUACGUAGAGUGCACAUAUGAUAUUUCAGGAUUUCAUCAAUACAUUAAAGUUUAUGAACUGAAAAGAACGGAAAAGGUGAACUGAAAAUCAAAUAAAAGUUGUAUCCUAUAUAGUUCAAGGUUAAAAGAACAACACAUGGAACGGUGGACCAGGACGUGUGCACCUGCUGGGGUAGGGGACGCAUACGGGAGCCCAAGGUGCAGGCGGAAGGUGGCUCGACACAGACGACCAGGGAGCUGCGAUGGUGAACAGCCUGGGGCGGCCGGGUUGGACUGCUGAUCGCAGCGGCGGCGAACCCAACGGCCUGGCCACACCGGGAUGACUAGCAACCAGAAGGAGGUGGAGGGGCGUGUCCACGACGGAGAGAUUGAACGGCCUUUAGUUGCAGCGUUGAACUUCCUAUACACUGCGGUGGAGCGAUAGCAGCUCAAGGACCAGGACAACAUGUAGUUUAAGAAUUACAGAUUAUGGUCAGCUAUAGGAUGUUUAUGGGACCAUGUUUUAGCGAUGAGAGAGCAACAACAUCACACCAUGAGAGAGAGGAUGCGGCAUCAACAAUUCAGUUGAAACAUCAGAGCAGAGCAGAAGUAAAUAUGUUUUGAGGAGAUGAACUGACCAGGAUUUAAAUGAACUCUCACUAGCAGUAAUUUUUGUACUUCGCAUGUAGUACUACAUGGACUUGCUGUAAAAUACAUGGACCAUGUAGUAAUUUUGAAGUUAAUUAUAUGAUCAUCUCAGGGAGCUCAAGUUGUACUGAAAGCUCAAGUUGGACAGGAACUAACUCGAUAACUAAAACUCCUAGGGUGAGGGGUGGGAUCCAGGGUGCUGCUGGCAAUGAACGGCCUGGGGUGGUGGCGUUGAACGGCCUGGAGUGGUGGCUGUGAACGGCCAGGGUGCUCCGGCAGCAGAGCCCCACCGGCAGUGUAAUGGA
rnacentral:lncRNA from 1 species